CUGAAGGAGAGUUGGCUGGAGACUGCUGGGAACAUACACUCGAUAGUGUAUUUGAUCAUUUUUCAGGACAAUAUCUGUCACUGGAAUCUCUGGAUGUUGGUCCUUCUUUUGCUUGGCGUAAAUAGCUGUGAUGGGAGAGUUUGCUGUGACUGAUGACCUGGACAAAGCAUCAGGGGCGACAUUUAAUUUCCCUUUACGGUACUCAAUGACGAAGUUGAAUUUCUGCAGUCUCAGGACCCAUCGGAUGAGGCGACUGUUGGUUUUAGUGGAUCCCAUGACCCAUUGCAGAGCGGAAUGUUGCCGUGUAGUUGAUCUCUGCUCCAGUUAAUGUUCGACUGGCAUAUGCAAUGACUUCCUCCCUGCCUGCAUCUUUCCUCUGCGUGAGAAUGGCCCCCAGUCCA